CCGAUGAUUUUCUGCAGCUAUAAUUAAUUAUUAAUCGAUGAAACUGGCAAAUGCUCUAUAAAUGGGACAAAAUGAUUAAUUUACUCUGUUUUUUAGGUUGCUUCUGUAGUUCCCUAUUAUGGAAUUUCAAUGUAUAAAAUAUACGUAAUCGCACAAAUAAUGACAAAAGGUAAUCAAGGGGGAGAUUACUACAUGGAUGCUAUUAAGGCCAGCUGGUUUUUAAGUUGUCUGGGAACUUGAAGCGAAAGUGUAUUAUCUACUGAAGGCAUUUUCUAAUUGUUCAAUGUAAUAUGCAAACUGUUCAUACGAAACAUUAAGAUUGCCAUAAGAUAAAGUUUCAGAAUUGUGGGCUUGGAAACGACAAUAAUGUAGUUCUAGAAUUUCUGCCACAUGCAUUUGUAUAUUCACAGCAUAUCUGAGAAGAGUGUUUUAAGCAUGCAUCCACUGAGUAUCCACAUAUUUAUCGGCAUUAUGAGAUGGUUGGGAAUUAUUAAUUAUGGUGGGGAUGUUGUACCUCUCACUUAAAUUGGAGAUAUCUUCAUUAGCAGAUAAGAAUUGUGGUGUGAUCAGAUGAUUAAAAGAGGACUUGCGUUUGUGGUGUAUUUAUUUUUAAUGUUGUCGGUUCAGUAGAUAAGGGAAAAGUGAAGAGUGUUGUCUGUGAUUUUGAAAAUGAAAAGACAGGUCGGUAGAGAGCGGCGAAACGGUUGUGUCGAAAGGGUUCUUAGAAGGUACUCGAAAUCUUCGAAGGAUAAGAAUUAUUGGGAAGGGCGAACAAAAGAUAGGUUUUACGACAUGCAGGUGUACGAAGAGAAAGUUUCAGGAUGAUAGUGGUUGGAAGUCAAUAAAUACAGACUAUACAAAUAUUACAUGUUGCACAAUUUUGUGGGAUUUGUUAGCCCCCACAAAAUGUUGCUAAAUCAAAAGCACAAUUACCAGUUGGGUUGUGCUGCAUAUAUUUUAUACAGAACAAUAGCUUGUAUUUGGUUAUAUUCUAAUGAAGUGUGAUGUAAAUAACUAAUAAUAAUAUGAGGAUAAAAAUAAUUUUAUUAACACCCGCACAGAACUAAAAGUGACUAAAGUCAUCUUCGCAAUGAAAAGGUAACAUUCAAUAUUAUAACUGUAUUUGUACCCCUUAAAGUGUCGUCCUUGAAUUUCAACGUUAGGUUGUAAUAACAAUCUUUGAAUGAGCUAGAGGGUACUUUUAUUAUUAUCCUCGCUAUAAAAUUGUACAGUUUGUGUUGUGUAUGCACAUUUUAGAGUUUUAAAGGAUAAGAAAAGUUAAUACAAGCAUUUUGAGUAA